GAGGUUUUUAGAAGAAACCUCACUUACAGCAGCAGCCAUAGCAACUUAACCCUACAGGGAGCAUCUGUCACAGAUAUGCUGGGACUCACUAAGCUGCUGGUUGUGAGGAGCAACAGCCACAGGCUGGACUGGAUGCAAUUGACAAGGACCAUCAUCUAGAGACAGAAAAACGCUGGAGCGUGAUAACAAUGAGCACCAACUUGGAACUGUAUAUGAACUACUUGUCCUGCGGUGUCAGAGAGCUUUGCUCUGAGGACAUCCGUGAGACAGGCUGCUUUGCUGUCUGUGCCCAGAUCGACUCAACCUUUCCCUGACAUCCAACCGUCAGGCUGGAGAGAACCUCGGGACAAGAACAAGACUGCUCUUCAGUGGAUUUCAGAAAGAAGAACGAGUCCAGGUGCCUUGAUUCUGCUUUACCACUGAUGACCUUCAUGUGACCAAGGAAUGAUUCUGGAUCUGUUUCUUCUAACACUGAAUUUUUCCUAAAAGAUGUGGUCUGAUGAAGGAGGAUCUCAUGGAAACAUGGACCAUGGCUGAGUGUGCAAAUGGAGUUUCAGGCAAUAGAGUAUGAGGAUCUUAGGUGCCUGAUUUGGGCUCUGAAGCCACAUUUCCACAGCUGAUGGCUGUCCCUGAAGGGCCCUAAGGUGAAAGUAACCAUCUGCUGGUGUAAGAUGGGGUCUCUGUCACACCGUUUUAUUAAUCCCCAAUGUAAAGCCUGCAACUUCUCAGAAAAAGUUCCCCAUACAUCACUGAACAAAAGGUUCCUAGGAAGAGAUAACCAGGCCCUGAACAUUUACACAUUUAUAAUUAUUUAUGCAACUGAAGGGUUUCUAGUAAAUUACUCUCUUAGUUUAUAUUUCCUAUAGUUUUUAAGUUGUAAAAACUAAGCAGCAGUUUUUCCUCGUGCUUUACUCUUUUAGAAUUUUCUUUUGAGAGAUUUAUUAAUAAAUGGUGGGAGAAAGUAUUUGAAAAUAAAAGAUGUGCAGGCUUUAGGAAACAUGAAGAAUUGCUGUGCUUGAUGCAAAGAGGCACUGUCUGCACCCCCACAGGGGUGGACUGCUAACCCCGAUGGGGCGCUUCUCUGUGUGGCUGAUCCGUUUGCCCCAACAGUACCUGCUAAGAGGCACAUUAUGUUAUUUCUAUUUUACAGGUGAUGAAACUGAGGUGCAGCAAGCUCAGGUAACCUAUCUAAAGAAGUAAGGGAUAUGACUAAGACUGGAACCCAAGCAGUGGGGGUCACAGAACUAAAGCUCACCUAAAACAAGCAAAGAACAUUUCAGUGCUAAACAACAUGGCCCUACACUUGAGUCUAGUUUCACUCCCAGGUAUUUUUCAGAAACUGCUCUCUUAAACGUCACUCUAUGACCGCCUAGUCACUAAGUCCAUCAGCCUUUCUAAGAUCUCAUUUUCCUUGGCUUUUCUGAAGCUUUGCAACUCCUUCAUUUUUCAGCGUGACCCUGGUAGAAUGAGGUAAGAGGUAUCACCGCAGCAGAACAACUUUCAGUGGUCAAUAGGGAGUUACUGAAGACCCUCGAGCAGGACAGCAAUAGGCUGAAGUGGUUUGUGGGAUUCAGCUUUUUAUCACUGUUAACCAAAGUACCUGACAGCAAUAACCUAGAGGAGUAAUAGUUUAUAUGGCUCAUGGUUUCUGAGGUUCAGUCCAUGGUCAGCUGACUCCAUCACUCUGGGUUCAGGGUGAGGCAGAACAUCAUGCCAGCAGGAUGUGGAGGAAGAAAGCUGCUCAGCUCUUGACAGCCAGGAAGCAGAGAGAGCUGAGGAUCCAGGGAGGCAAGACAUUAUCCUCAAGGGCAUGCCCCCAGUGACCUACUUCCUCUAGCCAUGCCCCACCUGCCUACAAUGACCACCUUUCAGAUUAUUAAUCCAUCAAGUGGAUGAGUCCACUGAUCGGGUCAUAGCUCUCCUAAUCUGAUCAUUUCCCUUCUGAACAUGCCUAUAUGAACACAGGAGCUUUGGGGGGACACUUCAUACCCAAACUAGAACAUGGUCCCUUAGGAAGAUCAGCAUGACAGAGCUAUUUAGGAACUGUGAGUGAGGCCCGGAGUGUUCUAGGUAGAUCAGCCAGCAGCUGCCACAGGGACCUAGGCAUGAAUUCAUGAGUGACUCCAAGAAACAAUUAUGCUGUGAGGGACUUCAUUAACCCAAGCAGGGUUGGAAUGCAUACUCAGGGUAUGAUUGUUUAAAUCCUUAUGAAACUCCUUGUUCUUGUACACUGAGGCUGCUAGAGAGAACACAAUUUUUCAGACUACUUACUGUUCCCUCUGUCAGAAACUAUAGGAAAAGGUCUUUCAGGGCAUGCUGUUCCUGAGCAUUUGGUGGUGCAUUGUCAACUCUGGUUCCCACAGUUGCAAACAUGCCCCCUUUGUAGGCCCCCCUAGAAGCUCAGAGGGAAAAGGACUGGGAGCCCCAGAGCAGGCAUUUUGUCCUCACCACGAACUUGGCUCCAUCCGUCUUGCUUCUUGUAUUCUCCCUUUGCCAUCUUUCCUCCCCUUAUAUCAGAGUUCAUUUGUUUCACCAUCACGUAGGCAUCUCUGAAAGACCCUUUAAAUCUUUUCCAGAAUAGAGAAGGAUAGAAGAGAAGAAUAAGAGGUCACAGGAGAGAGGGAGAAAGAGAAAUGGAAUUUGAAAGAAAGGACAACAUCCAAGCCAAUCAACUCGAAGAAGACAUUUUGGAGACAACUAGGGAAAUGGAAGAUGAGUAUUCAAUUAUAGCAAGGAAUUAUUAUUCACUUUCUGGGUGAGAUAAUACCAAUGUGUGGUGUUUUUUUUAAAAGUUCUUACCUGUGGCAAUAGACUACAAGCUAUAGGUGAAAGUUACUCAUUUCUGAGAUUUGCUUUAAAUGACUAUGGAAAAAAUAAAAGAUGGAAAAUAGGAGAAAAAAAACAUAAAAACCAUUUUUUAAAGUAGGAAACUGUGAAGAUGAGGAUUCUUCUCACAGAAAUAAUGUACCUGGGAAAAACAAUGGUGAUUUCUCAGAAGGUUGGAAUGCCUGGCUUGCUAGCAGAUUUGGUGAGCAUUUCACUAAACUCUGAGCACGUGCCUGAGUGAAGAAAACAGAAAGGAAAGAACAGAUAUUUAUUAAGUAUUUAUCGAUCCCGGGCACUGUGCUCAUAUCUACAACCUGGUUGGAGAAUACCACCCCCCACCUCUGUCCAUCUUAUCUGCUCUCCUCUUUCUGAAAAGAUGUGGGGGAGGGUAACUGUGUGGGUCACCAGACUGCAAGGCUUAUAGUUCUAUCUUCCUGGGUUGCCCACCACUCCCCCAUUCAAGUCACUACAUGGCAAGUUCAAAUUAUCCCAGGAACAUGCCAAAAAAUGAAGGCUCCUACCCUGAGCUGUUGGAAGCCAUCAUGGCUGGCCUCAGCUCCAAUUGUAUAUUAAUAGUGAACAUUGAUUUUUCUCACCUCUGAACCAAAAGGCAGCCAGAACGAUGUCACACAAGACAAAUGCUCCUUUGAAGUCAGAAUCUCUGUCAUGGCCAUAUUUUCAGGAGUGCCAUAGCCACCCACAGAUGGCAGUCACUUAAUGAACAGUACACUAAGGAACGUGCAUCCAGGCUUCAUUAAGGUGCAGCAAACUUUUAGAAGGAAGAAUGCUGAGGAGGGCAGAGUUGGGGAGGAAACCCCUGAUCAACUGUGGACUCAGGUCAGUUGCAGCAGAUUCUGCCAUAACCUUCUAACUGUUAGUAUCUCAAGCACCUGUUUUUGCCAUUGUCUCCAUAAGGAAACAGAGCCUUUUUCUAGGUUUUCCUCUUUUCUCAUCCAAAUAGAAAAAGAAAAGAAAGGUCCUAUAAAAGCUUAUUUACAUCAGACUCUACUGAAGUUAUAGGGCUUUGGAGGGAGUUUAUAUUGCAACAGCCUUGUGCAAAAUGACUUUGGCCAAGUCUGUAAACCUCAGAUUCUUCCAGAAAGCUAUAUAUAAGAAGGAAUAAAAAGGCCCAUGGACAGAUACUUAAAGCAAAUUUACCUAAUUUUCAAAUUUGUUCAAGGACCUGCAUAUGGCAAUAUGCCAGUUAGCUAAUGAAUCAAUAUACUAAGGCUUCCUGUAUCUGUUUAGGGAAGCAGGAAAUCUCAAUUAUCUCUAUAAGUUUAUUCUUUCCAUUGGCAGCUAUUUCUCUGGGCCAGGGACUGUCCUCCAUUCUUGGGCAAUAGAAAUGAAAACAAAAUCCUGACCUAUUUUAUACAGUCUAUGGUCUUGCAGGGAUGGCAGGGUGGGAGUUGCUGUAACCAAAAUCCAGACCUUCUUCUAUGGUUUGAAUGUCCUCUUCAAAACUCAUGUUCGAAUUUAAUUGUGACCUUUAAGAGGUGAUCAGACCAGGGGAACUCUGCCCUCAUGAGUGGAUUAACACCAAUAUCCCAGGAGUGGGUUAGUUAUCAGUGGAUAACUGAUGUUCCUAAUGAAAGGGUAAGUCCACCCUCCCUCUGCCCUACCUGUGCUCACCUGCCCUUCCACCACGUUAUGAUGCAGCAAGAAGACCCUCGUCGGAUGCAGACACCAUGCUCCUGAACUUCCAGCAUCCAGACUGGGAGCCAAAUUAACUUCUACUGUUGAUAAAUUUCCCAGUCUAUGGUAUUCUGUUUUGGCAGCAGAGAGCACACUAAGACAACCUCACACUGCUGCAUGGGACAAGGGAGUAACAAAAGCUGCACUGGAGGAUUGGAGCAUAAAGAAUCAACUCGAGGCUCAUCUUUCAGCUUGGCUUGUAAGGAGGAAUGGAAGGUUAAAAGCCACCCAAAAGAUGGAUAGGGGUAGAGAAGAACAUUCCAGACAGAAGGAGGAACAUGCAUAAUCCAAGGCCCAGAGGAAUGAGAGGUGCCCUAGGCUUUGGUGCCUAAUGACAGGAAUCUAAUGUUUCUUUCUCUGACCUGAGAUGCACAGGGAUGGGUGAUGGAAAGUCCCAUUUCGCAUUAAGUUGAUGGAUAUUAGAAUUGUUUGCAUGCCAGCACAGGGGACUGGGAGGCCAGAGGUCAUCCCUGGUACAACUUUCCUGACCUCUCCAUCUCCUUAAGGUACACCUCAAAGGUCAGCUCCCUGACUUCCUCAGACCGCGUUGGCUGCCAUGUCCUUGAUAAUACUGAUCACACAGACUUGACCGUCCUUUGUAGAGUCCCCAGGAGACAGAGAGGUCACUAAGGAUGCCUGACCCCAUCUCUGGAAGCAUUUUGCACAAUGGAUACCCAGUAGGUAGUCUGAAAAUGAUUCAGAGAUUUAAAAAUGUUUAUUGAACAGUGAAUUCACAGGAAUAGCUGAUAAUUACUUUUGAUAUAUUCACAUUUGUACUUCAUUUAUUCAUCUAGCACAAAAGGAUGGGUUGGCAGCUUAACUGCCUCACUGAACAUCUUAGCUGGCAAGUCUAGUGUCCAAUUCUGAACUGUUGGGUAAUGGUGGUGCUGAUUUUCAACCUAUUGAGUGGCAUACCACACUACUUAGCAAAAAAAUUCAGCAUCUGCAGAUUGCUAUUCCAUUUCUUCCUCUCCCUAUUUUGUCUUUGUCAUAUGAGCCUACUGUCACCUCUCUGACAAGCUGGUUUGGACCACAAAGUGAGAUUCUGUGUUUGAAAAUACUUUGCAAAAGAGAAUGUGCUAUUUGGUGGCAAGAUGCUGUCAUUGCUAUGUAUAUGCUAGUAUCAGAGGAUCCAAUACUACCAUAGGACCUAUGACAACUUUUUGACUUCCAUUUGAUGUAGAUUUUCUUAGAAAUGUAUUUUUAGUGAUUGUCUCAGAAGAGGCACACUCUUGCUCAAGCACAUGGUCUCACACAGUCACGUGCCUAGGAACUGGGGUUAUGUUCAACAGGUUGGAAUAGGAAAUUAAGGACUCUGUUUUCCCUCCAGCCCAAGGAAGUUAAUACAGUAGCUUUGGGGCACAAAGAAAAAGUCUUCUGUGGGCCUAAUACUGGGACAUGUUAUCUCUAAUGUUAUACCUAGUUGAAUGUUAUCUAAUCUAAUCUAAUGUUAUCAUUAAUUAUCUCUAAUAUUCACAUUAGCCUCAUAGAGAAGUAUUAAUAUCCCUCCUUUAUGCAUGGUAAAAUGAAUUUCAGAGAGAGUCCAGGCCCUUGCCCAGCCAGGAAAUGGUGGAAACAGUAUAAAUGAAGAUCGGAGUUACUCCCAAACUCCUUUCGUUUGAAGAUGCGACAACCUCUUGAACCAGGCCCAGAGGUGCACAUCUAUAAUUGCAGUGACUGGAUGCAAGGCAGGAGGCUUGCAGGUUCAAGGUCAGCCUCAGCAAGUUAGCAUGGCCCUGAUUCAAGAUAAAAGAAUUAAAAAGAGUGAGGGAUGUAGCUUAGUGGUAAAGCACCCCUAGAUUAAAUCCCUGGUACCCAAUUCACUUUUACCAUCUGUAAAAUGGAUUGAAAAUAUAUUCCUUGCCUAUUUGCAGCAUCAAACUGAAUUUCUUAGCACUGAAAUGACAUACAUAGUGGCAACAAAUACUAAGAAUGUAACAGUUAUGUAUGCUUCACUUUUUCACAGUAGUUCUGCAUAAAUUCUCCAUAGACAAGAUGAUACUUUGUAGUAAAAAAUAAACAACUAAAUCAAAAUUAAAAAAAAAAAAAGCUCGUGGUUACAACCAUCAGGAUCCUCAGGUGCAGUUAUACACUUGCACAGGGAAGGAAAAAUCUCCUCCUGGGUCUUCUUGGGAAGCAAUCAGGGCACAAAUUGUGCAGACACUCUGAUGAGCACAUUGCCUAAACUCUCCAUGUCUUGGUGGUAGAGAAAUAUAGAGCCUCCUUCAGGGCUUAUUGGAGGUUAAAUGAGAAAAGGCACCUGGAGUGCACAGCUAGUGCACAAUAGAUGUUAGCAGUAAUCACAAGGGAUGCUAAACAGCACUGCUGGGCUUCACUCUAGGUAAGACUUCUCCAGACAUUUCAGUUUCCUCCUCCUUUCCUCUCCUCCCAAACUCUAGCCACAGUUUACAAAGCUUGUCUUUGUUCCUUUUCAUUUUGGUGGUAAUAACAGACCAAUAGAUCAUUUUCAAAAGCAAUAACUUCAUGAUUGCAUGGAAGAGUUUGCUGAUUUCAUAUGUUAACCAGAUUGAAUUGUUCACCUCCCCUACAUCCAUUAAAAAGUGAUGUAUUUGUAUGUAUUAUUUUGCUGGACAGCAAAAAAUGCAUGUUUUCCUGUCUGGGUCCAUCAAUCACUUUGUCGCUGAACUGAUGAGAUCCCUGACUGAGGGGCUGAGCAAUGAUUUACUCCACACCAGUGUAUCCAGCUCAGCCUCCAAUAUAUCUACUGAGAAUACUCGUGUCUACUAAUCUGGAAAGGGAUCUUGGCUCAAUGUUCAUUGUCUAUGAGGGACUGAACUAAAUGGAAGAACAAUUUGAGUAGGGAGGAACAGAGACAAGAAUCCUAAAAAGCAAAACAAAGUUUGUGUUGAGGAUACCAGUAGGUCUUUAAUGUUGACUCCCAGUGAAAUUUGGGAUUCACAUUCCCAAAGGAUCAAGACCAGAGCUUCUGUCCUCGUGAUCAACACUUACCUCUUGCCCCAGUGUUGUGGGGGUCGGGGGGAACCAUGAGGAAACAAGAAAGAAAAUGUUCUAGAAUUACACCUAGAGAUUGUACAAGAAAUGCCAAAGUGUUAGUGAAAUCCUGGCAUGGACAGAGAAGUCCACCUGGCCCAGUACCCCUUGGAGAAGCAUCAGAGGGAAGUCAGUUGCUCCCUGCACAGGAAGACGCAGGAGACAGGUUAGCAGUGCAUGGGGCAGUUCCUGAGAGAAAGCAAGAGAACAAAGAGAAAAUUUAAGAAUUAGAGAGACAAAAGAGCCAGAGGAUUUUUGACACCAGAAAUGUCUUCACUGUUGCAAUAUAAACUCCCACCAAAGCCCCAUACCUUCAGUAAAGUCUGAUAUAAAUAAGCUUUUGUAGUACUUUUUUUCCCCCUCAUUUUUCUUUUUCUAUUUGUAUGGGAUAAGAGGAAACCAUAGAAAAAAGCUCUGUUCCAUGAUGGAGUCAAUGGCAAAAACAGAGACUAAACACCAGCCAUGAAACAGAACAGAGAUUAAGAUUCAAUGGAAGAAAUGAUUUACAGUAGAAGGGGUAG